ACAAAAGCAAUAUGGUAUGAAGCUUCCAAAGGCUACGGGCAGCCUCCCCAGCUGCUGCCUCCAAUGCCAAGUCCCCGUGGUGCAGCUGCUGAGGCACACGACAUGUGGCGAGGCUGAGCUGCAGGAGCGCGUUCCAUGGUCACAGACAGUUCCCAACACCACUGUCCUUUCCUUCGCUCACAGGGUGGAGAGCAAAGAGAAGACGAGCCCUGGUGCUGUGUCCUCUCAAACAGCCCAGCUGCUGCUCUCUUCCCAGAAAACCACCCCACACCAUAAGGUCUUUCAGUGCUGUUUCAAAAGCCAGGCCAGGGCUGACUCACUGCUCUGUGCCUUGUCAGCGAAAGAAUCAGAAUGGUUGGAGGAGACCACGAAAAUCACCAGCAACCAUCAGCCUAUCCCUACCAUGCCCACUAAUCGCAUCCCUCAGUGCCACAUCUACACAUUUCUUGAAUGCUUCCAGGGAGUGAUUCCACCGCCUCCCUGGGCAGCCCAUGCCAGUGCCUGACAGCUCUGAGAGGAAAUUUUCCUAACAUCCAACCUGAACCACCCCUGGUGCAACCUGAGGCCAUUCCCUCUCAUCCUGUCACUAGUUACACAGGAGAAGAGGCUGACUCCCACCUCGCCACAACCUUCUGUCAGGGAGUUGUAGAGAGGGAUAAGGUCUCCCCUUGAACCUGCUCCAGCCUUAACAGUCCCAGUUCCCUCAGCCAUUCCUCGUAAGGUUUGUGCUCCAGACCUUGUCAGGAGCUGUGAUGCUGUCCUUGGCCUACAGCCGGUUGUCCAUCCUGUGCUGGUGAAGCGCUGCUCACGUGGACAGAGCGACCUUUCUGCAGAAGGUGUGCAGUGCCCAAGCAGAGACCCCGUGCUCAGGUGAGACCAGUUGAUCACCUUGGGACCAGACACUGGAAUGUCCUGUAGUCAUUGAAAGAAGGGCAGAAAAUAUCCGUAACAAAGGAAAUUGCUAUUGAAGGUGUAAUAGAUAGGAGACAAAAGCGGAAACAAAGCACCAAAGCACAUCGCAUUACAUAAGCAAAGCUACACUAUCUUUGAAUGACUGAGUGCAUGGGA
rnacentral:lncRNA from 1 species